CCUACGGGAGGCAGCAGUGGGGAAUCUUGCGCAAUGGGCGGAAGCCUGACGCAGCGACGCCGCGUGCGGGACGAAGGCCUUCGGGUCGUAAACCGCUUUCAGCAGGGACGAGGCCCUCACGGUGUCGGUACCUGCAGACGAAGCCCCUGCGAACUACGUGCCCGCCUCCGCGGUAGUACGUAGGGUGCGAGCGUUAUCCUGAUUCAUUGGUUGGAAAGCGCGCGUAGGCGGCCUGUUAGGUCGGGGGUCAAAUACCGGGGCUCAACCCCGGUCCGCCCCCGAUACCGGCAGGCUUGAGUGUGGUAGGGGAAGGCGGAAUUCCCAGUGUAGCGGUGGAAUGCGCAGAUAUUGGGAAGAACACCGGCGGCGAAGGCGGCCUGCUGGGGCACGACUGACGCUGAGGCGCGAAAGCUAGGGGAGCGAACAGGAUUAGAUACCCCGGUAGUC
rnacentral:rRNA from 1 species